rnacentral:tRNA from 1 species
GGGCGAUUAGCUCAGUUGGCUAGAGCGCCUGCUUUACACGCAGGAUGUCACAGGUUCGAGUCCUGUAUCGCCCA